ACCUGGAUAUCUCAGAUCGUAGACCAAUCACAAUUUUAAUCUGAGGAUCCAGGGUUCAAGUCCCUGUUCAGGUG
rnacentral:tRNA from 1 species